CCUACGGGAGGCAGCAGUGGGGAAUCUUGCGCAAUGGGCGAAAGCCUGACGCAGCCAUGCCGCGUGAAUGAUGAAGGUCUUAGGAUUGUAAAAUUCUUUCACCGGGGACGAUAAUGACGGUACCCGGAGAAGAAGCCCCGGCUAACUUCGUGCCAGCAGCCGCGGUAAUACGAAGGGGGCUAGCGUUGCUCGGAAUUACUGGGCGUAAAGGGAGCGUAGGCGGAUAGUUUAGUCAGAGGUGAAAGCCCAGGGCUCAACCUUGGAAUUGCCUUUGAUACUGGCUAUCUUGAGUAUGGGAGAGGUAUGCGGAACUCCGAGUGUAGAGGUGAAAUUCGUAGAUAUUCGGAAGAACACCAGUGGCGAAGGCGGCAUACUGGCCCAUUACUGACGCUGAGGCUCGAAAGCGUGGGGAGCAAACAGGAUUAGAUACCCUGGUAGUCCACGCUGUAAACGAUGAGUGCUAGUUGUCGGCAUGCAUGCAUGUCGGUGACGCAGCUAACGCAUUAAGCACUCCGCCUGGGGGAGGUACGGUCGCGAGAAGUUAAAACGUUAAAAGGUAAGUUAGUACGGCGUGAGACGUCGCCGACGGACGACGACGAGGGAGGAGG
rnacentral:rRNA from 1 species